rnacentral:lncRNA from 1 species
UUGGAAACAAGAAUCCGGGAACUCAAGCGAUCUCAACGGAAACCCAAGACAGAGAAAUUGGCAGGCUAUUGUGAGAAGAAUCAGGAAAAGUUCCCGGAGUACCUUGAAAAUCCAUUAAAGUUACUUAUUUAAGAAACCUUUUUGAUAAUCUGGAGGAGCAAGACGG